CAUAGGUUAAUGAGGCGAACCGGGGGAACUGAAACAUCUAAGUACCCCGAGGAAAAGAAAUCAACCGAGAUUCCCCCAGUAGCGGCGAGCGAACGGGGAGGAGCCCAGAGCCUGAAUCAGCAUGUGUGUUAGUGGAAGCGUCUGGAAAGGCGCGCGAUACAGGGUGACAGCCCCGUACACAAAAGCGCAUGUGCUGUGAGCUCGAUGAGUAGGGCGGGACACGUGGUAUCCUGUCUGAAUAUGGGGGGACCAUCCUCCAAGGCUAAAUACUCCUGACUGACCGAUAGUGAACCAGUACCGUGAGGGAAAGGCGAAAAGAACCCCGGCGAGGGGAGUGAAAAAGAACCUGAAACCGUGUACGUACAAGCAGUGGGAGCCCCACCACUAAGCCAGUGGUGAACUCCACAUACGCAUCCUUUGCUGAGGAUACGGUUAACGGAGCGAAAGCGACGUUCAACCUCAAAAGAAGCAGAGGGGGCUUAGUGGUGGGGUGACUGCGUACCUUUUGUAUAAUGGGUCAGCGACUUAUAUUCUGUAGCAAGGUUAACCGAAUAGGGGAGCCGGAGGGAAACCGAGUCUUAACCGGGCGUUAAGUUGCAGGGUAUAGACCCGAAACCCGGUGAUCUAGCCAUGGGCAGGUUGAAGGUUGGGUAACACUAACUGGAGGACCGAACCGACUAAUGUUGAAAAAUUAGCGGAUGACCUGUGGCUGGGGGUGAAAGGCCAAUCAAACCGGGAGAUAGCUGGUUCUCCCCGAAAGCUAUUUAGGUAGCGCCUCGUGAAUUCAUCUCCGGGGGUAGAGCACUGUUUCGGCUAGGGGGCCAUCCCGGCUUACCAACCCGAUGCAAACUGCGAAUACCGGAGAAUGUUAUCACGGGAGACACACGGCGGGUGCUAACGUCCGUCGUGAAGAGGGAAACAACCCAGACCGCCAGCUAAGGUCCCAAAGUCAUGGUUAAGUGGGAAACGAUGUGGGAAGGCCCAGACAGCCAGGAUGUUGGCUUAGAAGCAGCCAUCAUUUAAAGAAAGCGUAAUAGCUCACUGGUCGAGUCGGCCUGCGCGGAAGAUGUAACGGGGCUAAACCAUG
rnacentral:rRNA from 1 species